rnacentral:rRNA from 1 species
AAGUUUACUUUGUGGUUUGAAAGGUUGCUUUUUUAAAGCUCCUUUUGACUUUCCAGGCUUAUGAAUUCAUAUACUCUUUGUAUGUCAUGAAUGUCUUGUUUACUGGACUUAUGUCCUCUAAAACUAUAUACAACUUUCAACAACGGAUCUCUUGGCUCUCGCAUCGAUGAAGAACGCAGCGAAAUGCGAUAACUAAUGUGAAUUGCAGAAUUCAGUGAAUCAUCGAGUCUUUGAACGCACCUUGCGCCCUCUGGUAUUCCGGAGGGCAUGCCUGUUUGAGUGUCAGUGAAAUCUCAACCUCUCAUGCUUUGUUGGCAUUGAGAGGAUUGGAURUGGAGGCUUGCUGGAUUUUAUUCAGCUCCUCUGAAAUGUAUUAGCAGGAACCAUUGCUAAGGUUUACUGCAGCCGUGUGAUAAUUAUCUUGCGGUUGAAGUAAAUAAUUAGUUUGUCUCACUUUUGGUCUGAAGAAAUGCUCUUUGAGCUUUCUUUGCCUUCUCUCUUCGGAGUGAUACCUAUCCAAGUGCAGAUUUUAAUGGUCUUAUCCAG